AUGAACGCUAGCUACAGGCUUAACACAUGCAAGUCGAGGGGCAGCAUGAACUUAGCUUGCUAAGUUUGAUGGCGACCGGCGCACGGGUGAGUAACACGUAUCCAACCUGCCGAUGACUCGGGGAUAGCCUUUCGAAAGAAAGAUUAAUACCCGAUGGCAUAGUUCUUCCGCAUGGUAGAACUAUUAAAGAAUUUCGGUCAUCGAUGGGGAUGCGUUCCAUUAGGUUGUUGGCGGGGUAACGGCCCACCAAGCCUUCGAUGGAUAGGGGUUCUGAGAGGAAGGUCCCCCACAUUGGAACUGAGACACGGUCCAAACUCCUACGGGAGGCAGCAGUGAGGAAUAUUGGUCAAUGGACGAGAGUCUGAACCAGCCAAGUAGCGUGAAGGAUGACUGCCCUAUGGGUUGUAAACUUCUUUUAUACGGGAAUAAAGUGAGGCACGUGUGCCUUUUUGUAUGUACCGUAUGAAUAAGGAUCGGCUAACUCCGUGCCAGCAGCCGCGGUAAUACGGAGGAUCCGAGCGUUAUCCGGAUUUAUUGGGUUUAAAGGGAGCGUAGGCGGACGCUUAAGUCAGUUGUGAAAGUUUGCGGCUCAACCGUAAAAUUGCAGUUGAUACUGGGUGUCUUGAGUACAGUAGAGGCAGGCGGAAUUCGUGGUGUAGCGGUGAAAUGCUUAGAUAUCACGAAGAACUCCGAUUGCGAAGGCAGCUUGCUGGACUGUAACUGACGCUGAUGCUCGAAAGUGUGGGUAUCAAACAGGAUUAGAUACCCUGGUAGUCCACACAGUAAACGAUGAAUACUCGCUGUUUGCGAUAUACAGUAAGCGGCCAAGCGAAAGCGUUAAGUAUUCCACCUGGGGAGUACGCCGGCAACGGUGAAACUCAAAGGAAUUGACGGGGGCCCGCACAAGCGGUGGAGUAUGUGGUUUAAUUCGAAGCAACGCGAAGAACCUUACCAGGCCUUGACAUCCCUUGCAGAGGUAUAGAGAUAUAUCCGAGGUUAUCAAGGAGACAGGUGGUGCAUGGUUGUCGUCAGCUCGUGUCGUGAGAUGUUGGGUUAAGUCCCGCAACGAGCGCAACCCUUGUGAUAUGUUACUAACAUUGAGUUGAGGACUCAUAUCAGACUGCCGGUGAUAAACCGGAGGAAGGUGGGGAUGACGUCAAAUCAUCAUGCCCUUUAUGUCCUGGGCUACACACGUACUACAAUGGCUAUUACAGAGGGAAGCAAAGCCGCGAGGUGGAGCAAAACCCAAAAAAGUAGUCUCAGUUCGGAUUGAAGGCUGAAAUUCGCCUUCAUGAAGCCGGAAUUGCUAGUAAUGGCAGGUCAGCAUACUGCCGUGAAUACGUUCCCGGGCCUUGUACACACCGCCCGUCACACCAUGAGAGUUGGGGAUACCCGAAGCCUGUGAGCUAACUUAUAGAGGCAGCAGUCGAAGGUAGAAUCAAUGAUUGGGGUG
rnacentral:rRNA from 1 species